UACGUAGGUGGCAAGCGUUGUUCGGAAUUACUGGGCGUAAAGGGCUCGUAGGCGGCCAACUAAGUCAUACGUGAAAUCCCUCGGCUUAACCGGGGAACUGCGUCUGAUACUGGAUGGCUUGAGUUCGGGAGAGGGAUGCGGAAUUCCAGGUGUAGCGGUGAAAUGCGUAGAUAUCUGGAGGAACACCGGUGGCGAAGGCGGCAUCCUGGACCGAUACUGACGCUGAGGAGCGAAAGCCAGGGGAGCAAACGGG
rnacentral:rRNA from 1 species